rnacentral:rRNA from 1 species
UACGUAGGGUGCAAGCGUUGUCCGGAAUUAUUGGGCGUAAAGAGCUCGUAGGCGGUGUGUCACGUCGGCCGUGAAAACCUGCAGCUUAACUGUGGGCGUGCGGUCGAUACGGGCAUCACUGGAGUUCGGCAGGGGAGACUGGAAUUCCUGGCGUAGCGGUGAAAUGCGCAGAUAUCAGGAGGAACACCGGUGGCGAAGGCGGGUCUCUGGGCCGAUACUGACGCUGAGGAGCGAAAGCGUGGGGAGCAAACAGG